rnacentral:rRNA from 1 species
GAAGAACAUAUCUGUCAUUGAGUUGAUGGGUAUGGGAAUCUCGUCAUUUACUGUGAGCAAAAUAGAGUGUUCAAAAGCAGGCUUACGCCGUUGAAUACAUUAGCAUGGAAUAAUAAGAUAGGACCUUGGUCUAUUUUGUUGGUUAGUUCUCCAAGGUAAUGAUUAAUAGGGACAGUUGGGGGUAUUCGUAUUCAAUUGUCAGAGGUGAAAUUCUUGGAUUUAUGGAAGACGAACUACUGCGAAAAGCAUUUACCAAGGAUGUUUUCAUUAAUCAAGAACGAAAGUUAGGGGAUCGAAGAUGAUUAGAUACCAUCGUAGUCUUAACCAUAAACUAAUGCCGACUAGGGAUUGGUGGGUGUUAUUAGCGACUCCAUCAGCACCUUAUGAGAAAAUACAAAGUACUUUGGGUUCC